AUAGUACCCCCUCCAUCCGGAAAUACUUGUCAUAGAAAUGGAUGUAUCUAGACGCAUUUUAGUUCUAUAUACAUCCACUUUUAUUCAUUUCUACGACUAGUAAUUCCGGACGGAGGGAGUACUAG
rfam:Triticum aestivum genome assembly, contig: Triticum_aestivum_CS42_TGACv1_scaffold_221213_3B